rnacentral:rRNA from 1 species
UACAGAGGGGGCAAGCGUUAUUCGGAAUUAUUGGGCGUAAAGGGCGCGUAGGCGGCUUGGCAAGUGGAAGGUGAAAUCCCUCGGCUUAACCGAGGAACUGCCCUCCAAACUGCUUCGCUUGAGACCGGGAGAGGUGAGUGGAAUUCCCAGUGUAGCGGUGAAAUGCGUAGAUAUUGGGAGGAACACCAGUGGCGAAGGCGGCUCACUGGACCGGUACUGACGCUGAUGCGCGAAAGCAUGGGGAGCGAACAGG